rnacentral:rRNA from 1 species
UACGUAGGGUGCGAGCGUUAAUCGGAAUUACUGGGCGUAAAGGGCUCGUAGGCGGCCAACUAAGUCACACGUGAAAUCCCCAGGCUUAACCUGGGAACUGCGUGUGAUACUGGAUGGCUUGAAUUCGGGAGAGGGAUGCAGAAUUCCAGGUGUAGCGGUGAAAUGCGUAGAUAUCAGGAGGAACACCGGUGGCGAAGGCGGCUCUCUGGACCACAACUGACGCUGAGGCGCGAAAGCUAGGGGAGCAAACAGG